CGGGGUGGGUGAGUGAGGGCAGAGGCAGAGUGUGAGCGGUGCCAGAAGUAUCUACGUGCUCAUUUUAAACCUCGGAUUGGGAAUGUCUCUGGUCAAGACCGGAAGCUGAAAGGAUCUGGAAUCUUCCGUUGGUCUCCUUCAUGGACAUUCGAGGUAAAGACCCAACAGGGGAGGAGGAGGAGGAGGAGGAG